CUAUAUCAUAAUGGGCGACUUCAAUG
rnacentral:sRNA from 1 species